rnacentral:rRNA from 1 species
ACGGGAGGCAGCAGUGGGGAAUAUUGGGCAAUGGGCGAAAGCCUGACCCAGCAACGCCGCGUGAAGGAAGAAGGCCUUCGGGUUGUAAACUUCUUUUAGCAGGGACGAAGGACGUGACGGUACCUGCAGAAAAAGCAACGGCUAACUACGUGCCAGCAGCCGCGGUAAUACGUAGGUUGCAAGCGUUGUCCGGAUUUACUGGGUGUAAAGGGUGUGUAGGCGGAGCUGCAAGUCAGAUGUGAAAUCCCGGGGCUCAACCCCGGAACUGCAUUUGAAACUGUAGCCCUUGAGUAUCGGAGAGGCAAGCGGAAUUCCUAGUGUAGCGGUGAAAUGCGUAGAUAUUAGGAGGAACACCAGUGGCGAAGGCGGCUUGCUGGACGACAACUGACGCUGAGGCGCGAAAGCGUGGGGAGCAAACAGGAUUAGAUACCCUGGUA